rnacentral:rRNA from 1 species
AACGAACGCUGGCGGCAUGCCUAACACAUGCAAGUCGAACGAGACCUUCGGGUCUAGUGGCGCACGGGUGCGUAACGCGUGGGAACCUGCCCUUAGGUUCGGAAUAACUCCCCGAAAGGGGUGCUAAUACCGGAUAAUGUCUUCGGACCAAAGAUUUAUCGCCUUUGGAUGGGCCCGCGUUGGAUUAGCUAGUUGGUAGGGUAAAAGCCUACCAAGGCGACGAUCCAUAGCUGGUCUGAGAGGAUGAUCAGCCACACUGGGACUGAGACACGGCCCAGACUCCUACGGGAGGCAGCAGUGGGGAAUAUUGGACAAUGGGCGAAAGCCUGAUCAAGCAAUGCCGCGUGAGUGAUGAAGGCCUUAGGGUUGUAAAGCUCUUUUACACGGGAUGAUAAUGACAGUACCGGGAGAAUAAGCUCCGGCUAACUCCGUG